AAGACCAAGGAAGAAGGAGGGGCAAGGGGUCGCCGCCCGUGGCCGAUGCCGUGGUCGCCAUCGCCUCCAUCUCUUCGGGGCUGCACCUCUCCAUCAACAAAUCUCUCUUUCUCACCAUGAUAAUGUGUGAGUAAUCCUCCUCGGGGCUGAGGGUAUGUACUGGUAGCUAUGUGUUAAAUCUCUCUCUCUCAUGUUCUUGAGAUGGCAUGAUCUUGAUGUAUCGCGAGCUUUAUUAAUAUAGAUGAAUCAUAUGGAGUUUUCCC
rnacentral:lncRNA from 1 species